GGGCUAGGAAAAGAAUGAAGACAAAUGGACACCUCGAGGGAGCGUCACAGCAGCAAAGUCAUCUGCCGGGACCCAGCUAAUGAAAAGAGGGGUUCUCUCUUCCUGCAAGGAGUUCCUGAUGAGGGUAUGCUUGGGCUAGGCUCAAGCUUGUCAGGGACACAUUUUAUCGCAGGCGCCUAGAAUCAAGGGGAAAGACAAUCCCACCGCAUCAAAGAGCUCACAGAGGGGCUGUGUGCCGGGCCAAGGUCAUGCUUUCAGCCUUGCCAGGGCAGCCAGCAGAGCAGCCCCCUAGCCUCCCAGCGCGAGAGUUUGACAUCCAGUGACAGAGCCCCAGUCUACUGGGAUGCUGGCAGGAUGCUGGCUCUCGGCCUGUGGAGAAGCACCCCGGGAGCGUCCCAUCACCCUGCCUCGUGGCUGGAAGGCUGUCCUCUUCCCGAGGUCUGCAACGGAACGGGACUGUGUAUCCUCAGUCAGUCUGUUUCCCCAGGGAGCGCCAGCACCCAUCCUCCUGGGCCCUUGCCACUCACCCAGGGCACUUCAAGGAAGCAGAGCACCUACAGCCUUGGCCAGGCCUCCCUGAUCAAUUCUUAGAAGGACCAGGGAUUUAGAGAGCAGCAGGGAGGAGCUGAAUCUAUACCUAGGAAAUGCAGCAAGGUUCAGAGGCUUCCCUGCCCGCGGAUGUACAAGAUCUGCCAGAGGGGCUGCCAUUCCUCUGCAUCUACCUAUGACUUGGGGUUUUCCAGGAAUGCAAGACUUUUAACACUAAAAUCAAGAAAGUCUCAGGGAGAAUGGAGGAGAUAUAAGGAUGAGAGACAGAAGCUCCCAUUGCCAAUCGGGUAGGAGUUUCAGAUCUCCUGAAAAGGUCUGAGAGUACUGUGAAUGGAUUGUGGACACACUGUCCCCUGCCCAGGAAGCUUGGGGAGCAUGAAACCACACCACUGCUGCCCUAAAGCCUGCCCCUGCCUUCUGCAGUCCCCCACCGCAGCUCACCCUGGCUGCUGCUAGCUGUGUUCUCUCCGGCUCUGACCUGUUCUUAUUCUUCCUUGUUCUCAAGGCAAAUCCAAGGACAUUCUGAGUCCUUCUAAAGUCUGCUUCUUUUCUGACCCACAGCACACUCAUCUAGUUGAUGAACUCUGCUCCAAUUCUCAAAUCUUCCUACCUCUACAUCUUCCUAAUACACACAGGGCCAUAUAUACACGAUACACUUACACAAAACACACUUCCAUACCACACCAACUAUCAUGCAUAAUGGAGAACACACGCUACAGCCCAUACACCAUCUCUUCCACAUCCCUCUCACUGGGACUCUUUCUUUCUCUCUCUCUCUCUCUCUCUCUCUCUCUCUCUCUCUCUCUCUCUCUCUCUCUCUCUCUCUCUCUCUCUGAGUCCAUGCCUCAGCUACUUGUCCUCUUUACUUUACUCUUCUUACACAUGUGACCCUCAGUUCUUCACCUUGGGCUUACAAUGCAGCAAUGGCAGCCUCUCUGAUGUCAGAGGAUUAUGUUCCUUGGUCCUUGGGACCCAGUGCAGAGUCUGACCACUGUUCUCCCUGGGAAUGGGUAAGUGGAGGAGGGAAUGAACAGUGAGUGAGUGAACAGUUAUGAAAGGGAUGUAGAAAGUUGGCUCAUGACAUGACACAGGCUCUGAUUUGCCUGGGCAUGGUGGUCGCCGUGGAAGCCCCACCUAUCAGCCUCACACCAGAUGGCCCUGCUAUUCUCACUCAGGCCCAGGAGUCAUACAGGAAAGGGAGCUUCUCACCUUGCUGGGAGGAUCCGAUUAGAGGCAGCUUUACUGAGGCAAGCCUCUUAGGCCUGAGCCACCUGUCUCCUCUGAGCUGUCUGCUCGCUGUGGAGAUGAACCCUGCUCCAGGAUGGGGCAUUUUCUGGUCCUUUCUAAGCCUAGCACUUUGCAGGAGCCCUGCCCAUCUGCUUGCUCCUAAGUAGACCCUUCCUGACAUUUCUAUUUUACACAAAAUUGAACUGUCAAGGUUACAGAGAAACCUGGGCAAAACUAGGCUCUGUGUCCUGGUGUGUGGGACCCAAACACCUAACUACUGUCACUUUCUUCCUGUCAGAUUAUUCUGUGAUGAAGUAGCCAGCAUGUUUUCCAAGACACUUUCCUUUUAUAUUUCCUUUUGUAUUUCAGGCCACAUUACUCUCUCAGACAAGGAUGUUCCACGCAUAGUGUGUGACAAUUUGUUGUUUAUUAUUUUUGGUGCUUUCCUGGUGAUGGGCACUAGGAAUGUACAGGAGUUGGUUCAGAAACCACUGGUUAGAUGCUAGAAAUUUGGGCUAUCUGUGGGUGCCUGAGUUGCUAUAGUCCUGGCUGAUCACACUGAGGUCCUGCUGCUGGGCAUUCUGACCAGCAUGGAAAUCUCUGGAGUUGUAGUUUCCACAGGAGGAAUCUUUGACUUUCACUCUGCAGGAGCCAUGAAGACAUGUGGGCUGGGCCCGGAUCAUAGAGACUUUGAAGGUUGGUGGUAAAGUUGGAACCAGGACUUGGAAUUCUGGAAUGUUCCUGGAUGUCUGGAAUGAAGACUCCCAGUGUGACAGUUCACUCUUGCCAUGAAAGUUGGCAGGGACCAACUCAAGGCCUCUGGUGUCUCCACAGCUGGGCAUGAAGGUCUCAUCUGGGUGGAGCCAGGCUUCAGGAGCUCUACACCUGUGGGAGAGCACCAGGGUCUGUCCUGGGAGAUGCUGGAUGGAAGCAGCAAGUGUGGGCAAACAGGUUCUCUGGGUUAGUAUUGGGUAAUCAGCAGCAGUGAAGAGUCAGGAGAAAAAGAGAAGCUGGAGGAAAGAGACAUGUGUGUGCACGUGCACGCACACACACACACACACACACACACACACACGGGUGCAUAUACAAAUGCUAUGUGUAUAACUCCUAUGUGCCAUGUAAUUCCAUCCACAAAUAUGCACAGUACACAUGGGCUCUGCGGUGGGUGCUGCUGUCCUGGAAGCGCAGCCUCUUCCGUUGUGAUGGUGAGAUAGGUUUAAAGGGUGCCAUGGGCUUGACCUGAUGCCGUGUGCUCUGUGGACAUAACCCCUCGACUUCUCAAUAGUAGCAAGCUGGCUCCUGCAGCCACACACUUUCUACAGAGGAGGACAUUGCUCAGGAGCACAAAGCCAGCAGGCUGUGGAGCUGAGAGCCCCUCCCUGAAGGCCCUGUCCUUCCAGGAGGUUUCGUGCUCACAUUCUACAGAAAACUCCCCUUUCU